CUCAUCCUUAUCUGCUUCUUCUUCUCCGCCUCCUCUUUCUCAACCUUUCCAUCCUUUUUUUUUUCGAAACCAAACUUUCUUAUUCUCUUUGUAAAUCCAAAAUCAUUCAGAGAAAACCUUAAUCUUCUCAUUAGAAACCUCUACGAAAAACCAGAAAUAUAAGAAGUUUCUGUGGUGAAUCUACUAUAAAUAAAACCCUAAGUAAAAAUUGUUUAAAGAAGAAUCCCUAAUUCUGUUAUAGAGCAGAAAUAAUAAAUCCAUCAGCAAGAGAACUAAGUUCAACUCGGUGCAUAUCGACUUAAGGAAAAUGGAAACUUGUUGUUUUGAACUUGCUUAAGGAUUCUGUUUCGAUUUUAGGAUUUUAGGGUUGUUCAUCAUCUGUUACUAGGAUUUUAGGAUUUCAUAAAUCGAUUUAGUAUUUCAGUUUGUUAACCGAUUUUAGUGUUUCUUGUUCUAAUAUGAUUCUUUUUUUCGAUUUCAGUUUGUAAACCUGAAGAUGGGUUAAUUUCUCAUAUUUUAUUUCUCGGUUAAUUUCUCAGAUUUAUUUCCCUAACUUCUUCUUAAUAUAUUUGAUUUCUAAGAUUUGGGUCUCUAGGGGUUUUAUUUGCUUAAGCUGAUUCUUUGUUUGUUCACAGAAGAAGGUGUAACCAUCAUGUUCUCGAGGAUGUUUGGUAAUCCUAAAGAAGGUGCAAUCAUCAUGUUCUCGAGGAUAUUUGGUAAUCCUAGGGAUGUAAAUUAUCAGAUUCUGGGAACUCGGGUCAUCAGAUUCCCAUAGAUAGACCCCAUGUUCUGAUUCUGGUGAAUUCGGGAUAUAAAUUAUAGAUUCUUGGAACUCAGGUCAUCAGUCUCCCGUAGAUAAACCUCAUGUUCUCAUUCUGGUAAACUAGGGAUGUAAAUUAUCAGAUUCUGGUAACUAGGGUCAUCAAAUUCCCAUAGAUAGACCCUAUGUUCUCAUUUUGGUGAACUAGGGAUGUAAAUUAUAGAUUCUAUGAACUCGGGUUAACCGUUUCACGUAUAUGGACCUCAUAUUCUCAUUCUGAUGAACCGGGGAUGUAAGUUAUCAGAAUAUGGGAACUCGGUUUAUCAUAUUCCCAUAGAUAAACCUCAUGUUCUCAUUUUGGUAAACUAGGGAUGUAAAUUAUCAGAUUCUGGUAACUAGGGUCAUCAGAUUCCCAUAGAUAGACCCUAUGUUCUCAUUUCGUGAACUGGGGAUGUAAAUUAUAGAUUCUAGGAACUCGGGUCAUCAGUCUACCGUAGAUGAACCUCAUAUUCUCAAUCUGAUGAACCAGGGAUGUAAAUUAUCAGAUAAUGGUAACUCGAGUCAUCAGACUCCCGUAGAUAGACCUCAUGUUCUAAAUCUGGUGAACUAUUAUCGGAUUCCGGGAACUCAGGUCAUCAUAUUCCAAUAGAUAGACCUCAUGUUCUUAUUCUGAUGAACCGAGGAUGUAAAUUAUCAGAUUCUGGGAACCCAGGUCAUCAGAUUCCCAUAUACCUCAUGUUUUCACUCAAAUGAACCGUGGAUGUAAAUUAUCAGAUUCAGGUAACUCGGGCCAUAUUAGUAUAUUUCUUGCCAUUGCCGGCGAGUGUAAUUUGGUGAAUUACGAGGGUACCCGCAUGUGCUCAUGUAAUCCUCAGCAGUUCGUUGGUGAUGUGUUGAUUUUCAGCUGUUGGAUUAGAAACUCUAGAUAAGACUUUCUAUCUCGUCCCAAAAGUCAGUGGGAGUACCGGUGUGUUCCCUGGAAACUCUAAGCUCGUGAAGAUAUCGCGAAAACUUAUAAAGUGAUAGAAGAUGACAUGAACGAAUUAGAAGCCAAAAAAAUGGGAGGAAAAAGAGAUUGAAUCUCGUAAAUGUGAGUGUGAGAAGCAAAUUGAAAAGUUGAAGGAUAAAGUUAUUUUUAUUAAGAAGAGCAAUGAUGGAAAGGACUGGCUAAGGGACCGUGGAAUUGAGGAGAAAUGAUGGAAAGGACCUAUAUUUUGUUUGUGUUUGUAUUUCAGUUUGCGGUGGUAUUUCAAGAUCUUGAUUCUGGUUAAGGUUCGAGUGGUUUUGGGUUGUGGAUCUUGUUUGUUAGGUUAUGUUCUUGGUUAUGGUUUAGGCCCAAAGAAGAAACCAGUCGUUACCGUCAUCAAUACAACUAUUCUUUGAUGAACAAAAAGAAAAAAAAAUCCCUUGUCUUGCCUUCAGCACCAGCAACAUCUCUACCUAAGCUUUGCAGUUUCGGUUCUUUUGUCAGAUGGUUGUUUUGAUCGGAUUUUAGUCGGUAAUGUCUUAGAUUUAUGUGAUCUGAUUUCCAUAGUUAUGGGUUAUUCAUACUUGGGUAAUGUGUCGGUCUUUGUAAUUAUGUUCAUGGGUAUUGGUUUGUUGAAUGUUGUUCGAAGAUUCGUGAUGAUCGUAUCUGGUAGGUGCAGGAGAUCCGACGUCUUUCCUGGCGAGUUCAUUGUUUACCAACUGAAGAUUCUAAUCACUUUUGGUCCUUCAGCUCUUCUUUCAUGGAAGAGGAUGUUUUUCAGAUUCCUUAAAAAAAUGUUACUAGGGUUGUGAAUCAUGCUCCAAGCCUCCAACGGUUCAAGCUGUCCGUACAUAAGCGGGUGCUACUGUUAUUGGUUACUAGAGAUUCUGUUACUGGUGAUCCUAUUACCUGAGAUUCGUUACAGUCGGUCAUGUUGUAUUUGGUUUGUGUCAUGUAACUUUCGGGGCUAUCACCUUGUUUAUUUAUUAAAAAAAAAAACUUUCACUA